rnacentral:misc_RNA from 1 species
UACGGAGGGGGCUAGCGUUGUUCGGAAUUACUGGGCGUAAAGCGCACGUAGGCGGAUGUUUAAGUCGGGGGUGAAAUCCCGGGGCUCAACCCCGGAACUGCCCUCGAUACUGGAUGUCUGGAGUUCGAGAGAGGUGAGUGGAAUUCCGAGUGUAGAGGUGAAAUUCGUAGAUAUUCGGAGGAACACCAGUGGCGAAGGCGGCUCACUGGCUCGAUACUGACGCUGAGGUGCGAAAGUGUGGGGAGCAAACAGG